rnacentral:rRNA from 1 species
UACGUAGGGUGCAAGCGUUAUCCGGAAUUAUUGGGCGUAAAGAGCUCGUAGGCGGUUUGUCGCGUCUGCUGUGAAAACUGGGGGCUCAACCCCCAGCCUGCAGUGGGUACGGGCAGACUAGAGUGCGGUAGGGGAGACUGGAAUUCCUGGUGUAGCGGUGAAAUGCGCAGAUAUCAGGAGGAACACCGGUGGCGAAGGCGGAUCUCUGGGCCGUAACUGACGCUGAGGAGCGAAAGCAUGGGGAGCGGACAGG